rnacentral:rRNA from 1 species
AUUGAACGCUAGCGGCAGGCCUAACACAUGCAAGUCGAGCGAGCGGCGGACGGGUGAGUAAUGUCUGGGUAACUGCCUGAUGGAGGGGGAUAACUACUGGAAACGGUAGCUAAUACCGCAUACCAUCAGAUGUGCCCAGAUGGGAGUAGCUAGGAGGUGGGGUAACGGCUCACCUGGGCGACGAUCCCUAGCUGGUCUGAGAGGAUGACCAGCCCGACUGGGACUGAGACACGGUCCAGACCCCUAGGGGAGGCAGCAGUGGGGGAAAUUGGACAAUGGGCGCAAGCCUGAUGCAGAAAGGCCGGGUGUGUGAAGAAGGCAGUGGGGUGGUAAAGCACUUUCAGCGGGGAGGCGUUACCCGCAGAAGAAGCACCGGCUAACUCCGUGCCAGCAGCCGCGGUAAUUC